rnacentral:rRNA from 1 species
UCAAGCUACAAGGGUGUAUGGUGAAUGCCUUGGUGCCAGAAGUCGAUGAAAGACGUGAUAAGCUGCGAUAAGCUGCGGGUAGGAGCAAAUAUCCUGUGAUCCGCAGAUUUCUGAAUGGGGGAACCCUUACAGGUGAGAGCCUGUAAAUCAUCACAAGAAGGCUGAGCCUCCGGGCUCGGAGAUAGGGUGAUAGAAGACAACGUAGGGAAGUGAAACAUCUCAGUACCUACAGGAAAAGAAAUCAAAGAGAUUCCCUGAGUAGUGGCGAGCGAAAUGGGAAGAGCCUAAACCAACCCCCGCACUGUAUGCAUCAGUGAGGGUGCAUAAAGUGCGUGGGUUGGGGUUGCAGGGCUUGCUCGUGUAAGACACAAAGAGUUAAAAACGUAUGGAUAGCUGAACGGUCUGGAAAGUCCGACCAUAGAGGGUGAUAGUCCUUUAAGCGAAAUCUGUGCGACUCUUAGCAAGUACCUAAGUACCACUGGUCACGUGCAAUCCGGUGGGAAUCCGGGGAGACCACUCUCCAAGGCUAAAUACUCUCUGGCAACCGAUAGUGAACCAGUACCGCGAGGGAAAGGCGAAAAGAACCCCGAAAGGGGAGUGAAAUAGAACCUGAAACCGUACAUCUACAAGCUAUUGUAGCACUAUGCCCGUAAGGGAAUGUGCGACAGUGUGCCUGUUGAAGAAUGAUCCAGCGAGUUAAUGUGCCGAGCGAGGUUAAGGGCUGAAGAGGUCCGAAGCCGUAGUGAAAGCGAGCUCGAAUAGAGCGAAUAGUUCGUCAUAUUAGACCCGAAGCCAAGUGAUCUAACCCUGUCCAGGCUGAAGUUCGCGUAACAGUGAAUGGAGGGCCGGAGUGUUAAACGUUGAAAAGUUUCUACAUGAGGUGGGGUUAGGGGUGAAAGGCCAAUCGAACUUGGUGAUAGCUGGUUCUCCCCGAAAUAGCUUUAGGGCUAGCGUUGUGAUUUAACCCGAGGGGGUAGAGCACUGGUUGAUUUAGGGGGAGCGACCCUCCUUCCGAUGUCAGUCAAACUCCGAAUACCUCGGCGGAUAUCACAGCAGUCAGUUCGUGAGGGAUAAGCUUCACGUGCGAGAGGGAAACAGCCCAGACCGUCAAUUUAGGUCCCAAAAUGUAUGCUAAGUGGUAAAGGAUGUGGAUUUACUUAAACAGCUAGGAGGUUGGCUUAGAAGCAGCCACCCUUUGAAGAGUGCGUAAUAGCUCACUAGUCGAGUGAAUCUGCGCCGAAGAUGACUCGGGGCUAAGCAUAGUACCGAAAUUACGGCUUGUACAGAGGUUCGCCUUUGUGCAGGGGUAGGGGAGCGUUAUUAGCAGCUGCGAAGGUAUACCGUAAGGAGUGCUGGAGCGCUAAUAAGUGAGAAUGCUGGAAUGAGUAGCGAUAAGGAAGGUGAGAAUCCUUCCCGCCGAAAAUCUAAGGUUUCCUUGAGCAACGUUCGUCGGCUCAGGGUCAGUCGGGCCUAAGCUCAGGCCGAAAGGCGUAGGCGAAGGACAUCAGGUUAAUAUUCCUGAACUGUAGUAAGCGCGUCAUAACCUAGGGAGGGACGCAGGAGAGUAGACCAUCUUGGUGAGGGAUUACCAAGUGAAAGGCCGUAGGCAUCUUCAGGUAGGCAAAUCCGCUUGAAGGCUAAGCCGAAAACCGAGACGAGUAUACAGCGAUGUAUGCGAAGUGGUCCAAUCACGCUGCCUAGAAAAACUUCGUAGGGAGUUCUUACUACAACCGUACCGUAAACCGACACAGGUGGAUGGGGUGAAAAUCCUAAGGCGCGCGAGAUAACCAUCGUCAAGGAACUAGGCAAACUAGCUCCGUAACUUCGGAAGAAGGAGUGCCUGAGUAGGGCUGUAGCAAUACAGUUUGAAAAGGUCGCAGUGAAAUGGGCUUCGUGACUGUUUAACAAAAACUUAGGGCUCUGCUGAAAUCUCAAGAUGAUGUAUAGGGCCUGAUGCCUGCCCGGUGCCGGAAGGUCAAGGGGAGUGGUUAGCCGCAAGGCGAAGCUGCGAACUUAAGCCCCGGUAAACGGCGGCGGUAACUAUAACCGUCCUAAGGUAGCGAAAUUCCUUGUCGGGUAAGUUCCGACCUGCACGAAUGGCAU